rnacentral:rRNA from 1 species
CAGUAGCCACGGUAAUACGAAGGGGGCUAGCGUUGUUCGGAAUCACUGGGCGUAAAGCGCACGUAGGCGGACUUUUAAGUCAGGGGUGAAAUCCCAAGGCUCAACCUUGGAACUGCCUUUGAUACUGGAAGUCUUGAGUUCGGGAGAGGUGAGUGGAACUGCGAGUGUAGAGGUGAAAUUCGUAGAUAUUCGCAAGAACACCAGUGGCGAAGGCGGCUCACUGGCCCGAUACUGACGCUGAGGUGCGAAAGCGUGGGGAGCAAACAGGAUUAGAUACCCCUGUAGUCCCUGUCUCUUAUAC